GAGACCUGCGCAUUGCAUACUUGCGAUUCAUUAAAUCGUGGUCGUCUGGUCGUCGCUGUCGUUGCUCUCGCGCGGACGUCGUCGUCGCUGCUCUGCCGACUUAUUGUUAUUGUUUUUACUUUAAAGAGCUUGUGCUUUUUUUUUAUUAUUUGACAUCUGAAGACACGCAUUUGUUUGUGCCGCGUGCUGCGCAGGGACACCGCCUACAAUUGAAGUUGUAACAACAACAACAAGAACAGCAGCAAGAGGAAGAGCAAGAGAGGAGCAACAACAAUAAUAAGAAUAACAACAACUUCAAGAAGUGCAGCAACGGCUCAAUGUGCUGGAGUGCCUUGAGUAAAAUUCUAUGCAACAAUGUGACCCGACACUGAUGAAGGCGAGAGCGAAGCAACAGAAGCAACCAAUUGACAGCAACUUCAGCGACAACGAACGCAUCGAAUUUUAAUUAGCGUAGACAAAGAAACACUUGUAGAAUUGCUGAAGAAUAGCAAACCAAACAAAUACCACGCUGAGAGCGAGCAGACUGAGCAACGAGUAGGCGAAGCCCGAGAGAGA